rnacentral:lncRNA from 1 species
CCUGGAUUCUGUUAAUUGCAUCCUGAGUUCUUAAGCCCAUAUGUGAAGCUAAGUCCUCCAGUUGAAUUACCUUUGUUUUCUUAAUGUAUUCAAUAAAUUCCUUCAGAAAGCUGCGAGUCUCUUCCUCUGUCAUCGAUUCUUCAACCCCUUCCUCUUCAACUACAAAACUCUCCUUCAGCUUCAGGUACUCUUCAUAUUCUCUCUUCUCCUCUUCUUCCUUUGCCUUCCUUUUCUCCUCUUCCUGUCGUUCCUCCUCAAGGCGGAUUCUUUCCUCUUCUUUCCUCCUUUCCUCCUCUCUCUUUGACUCAAGUUUUCUCCGUUCUUCUCGCUCUGCUUCCUCAGCCUCUCUCUGAGCUUUUCUGGCUUGUUUCUCUUCUAAUUUCCUCUGCUUUUUUGCUCCAAUUUUCCCUGUCACCUGAAGUUCUGGCACCUCCUCAGCAUCAUCUUCCUCUUCCACCCAUUCCUCUGCCUGCUGUGCUCUCCUCUGGGCCAUCAUCCGGUUUCCCAGGUUCCUCCGGCGCCUUGGCAUCCCAUCGCCUCGCUCUUCAACAUAGGGCCGAGGUCUGACUGCUGCAGCCACAUCUUGUUGGUGCUCCUCAUCAGCUGCCGGAGCCGAGCGGCGAAAGCGGGUGGCGAAGAAGAGAAGGACGGCGAGGAGCGCGGCCACAACGGCGAGCAGCACCGCGUCCAUCCUCAGCGC